AUUGGGUCGUAUUUAUAAUGUGUGUAUGAGAAAGGACUUGUUUUUUUCUUCAUAUAUAUAUAUAAAUAUUAUUAAAGUAAACCCAAAGGCGUAAUUAACUUAACUGUUAUAUAAUAAUAUAUAAUGGGAUUAUAUAUAUAAAAUUUUUAUAAAUUUUAUAUAUUCCAUCCCGGGGCGUUCUAUAUAGUUAUGUAUAUUAUAAUAUUGAUUUUUAAAGAUUUUUAUUAUAUAUACCUCUAACUGGAGCGUACCUUGAGCAUAUAUGUUGUGACCCGAAAGAUGGUGAACUAUACUAGAUCAGAUUGAAGUCAGGGGAAACCCUGAUGGAAGAUCGAAACAGUUCUGACGUGCAAAUCGAUUGUCAGAAUUUAGUAUAGGGGCGAAAGACCAAUCGAACCAUCUAGUAGCUGGUUCCUUCCGAAGUUUCCCUCAGGAUAGCUGGUGCAAUUAAAAAUGAUUAAAAAUAAUCUUAUCUGGUAAAGCGAAUGAUUAGAGGCAUUAGGGCCGAAACGGCCUUAACCUAUUCUCAAACUUUAAAUGGGUAAGAACCUUAUCUUUCUUGAUUAAUGAAGAUUAAGGUCAUGAUAUAUUGUGCCCAGUGGGCCACUUUUGGUAAGCAGAACUGGCGCUGUGGGAUGAACCAAACGUGAUGUUAAGGCGCCCAAAUUAACAACUCAUACUGAUACCAUGAAAGGCGUUACUUGCUUAAAACAGCAGGACGGUGGACAUGGAAGUCGUAAUCCGCUAAGGAGUGUGUAACAACUCACCUGCCGAAGCAACUAGCCCUUAAAAUGGAUGGCGCUCAAGUUGUAUGCCUAUACAUCACCAUUAAAAUAUAUGAUUUAUAUUCAUAUAAAUGAAUAAUAAAUUUUGAAAUUUUAAUGAGUAGGAAGGUACAAUGGUGUGCGUAGAAGUGUUUGGUGUAAACCUGCAUGGAGCCGCCAUUGGUACAGAUCUUGGUGGUAGUAGCAAAUAAUCGAAUGAGACCUUGGAGGACUGAAGUGGAGAAGGGUUUCGUGUGAACAGUGGUUGAUCACGAGUUAGUCGGUCCUAAGUUCAAGGCGAAAGCUGAAAAAUGAUAAGUUAUGUAUAUAAUAUAUACACUUAUUAUUAUUGAACGAAAGGGAAUACGGUUCCAAUUCCGUAACCUGUUGAGUAUACGUUUGUUUUUAAAAAUGGGCUUUAUAUAUGUGCUCAUCCUGGUAACAGAAAUGACCAUAAAGAAGCCGUCGAGAAAUAUCGAAAGAGUUUUCUUUUCUGUUUCAUAGUCGUAUUACCAUGGAAGUCUUUAGAAGAGAGAUAUGGUAAAUGGACUAGAAGAGCAUGGCAUUUACUGCUGUGUCGAUAUUUUCUCCUCGGACCUUGAAAAUUUAUGGCAAGGGUCACGCAAACUUACUUAACAGGCCGUACCGAUAUCCGCAGCUGGUCUCCAAGGUGAAGAGUCUCUAGUCGAUAGAAUA
rnacentral:rRNA from 1 species